AGUGAACGCUGGCGGUAGGCCUAACACAUGCAAGUCGAACGGCAGCACAGUAAGAGCUUGCUCUUACGGGUGGCGAGUGGCGGACGGGUGAGGAAUACAUCGGAAUCUACUUUUUCGUGGGGGAUAACGUAGGGAAACUUACGCUAAUACCGCAUACGACCUACGGGUGAAAGCAGGGGAUCUUCGGACCUUGCGCGAUUGAAUGAGCCGAUGUCGGAUUAGCUAGUUGGCGGGGUAGAGGCCCACCAAGGCGACGAUCCGUAGCUGGUCUGAGAGGAUGAUCAGCCACACUGGAACUGAGACACGGUCCAGACUCCUACGGGAGGCAGCAGUGGGGAAUAUUGGACAAUGGGCGCAAGCCUGAUCCAGCCAUACCGCGUGGGUGAAGAAGGCCUUCGGGUUGUAAAGCCCCUUUGUUGGGAAAGAAAAGCAGCAGGUUAAUACCCCGCUGUUCUGACGGUACCCAAAGAAUAAGCACCGGCUAACUUCGUG
rnacentral:rRNA from 1 species